CUUGUGCUAAUACCGGAUAAGUCUUUACGGAGAAAGCUUUAUGCACCAUUGGAUGAGCCUGCACUUGAUUAGUUUGUUGGUGGGGUAAUGGCCUACCAAGACUGUGAUCAAUAGCUGAUUUGAGAGGAUGAUCAGCCACAUUGGGACUGAGACACGGCCCAAACUCCUACGGGAGGCAGCAGUGGGGAAUCUUGCACAAUGGAGGAAACUCUGAUGCAGCGAUGCCGCGUGAGUGAAGAAGGCCCUUGGGUUGUAAAGCUCUUUCGUCGGGGAAGAAAAUGACUGUACCCGAAUAAGAAGGUCCGGCUAACUUCGUGCCAGCAGCCGCGGUAAUUAGAAGGGACCUAGCGUAGUUCGGAAUUACUGGGCUUAAAGAGUUCGUAGGUGGUUGAAAAAGUUGGUGGUGAAAUCCCGGAGCUUAACUCUGGAACUGCCAUCAAAACUUUUCAGCUA
rnacentral:rRNA from 1 species